UUAUUAUAAAAGAUAAGUUAACCUUCUUUUUAUUUAGACAGAAAAGAGGAGAUGAUGGGGGAAAUACUUCUGUGUAUGUUUAUAAAUAAAGUACUUGCUUGGCCAAUGAGACAGCAGGUUAGGCUGGACUAAGAGUCAAAGAGGAUUCUGGGAAAUGUAGUAUAGAAAUGGUGUCCUAGACAGGAAGUGACAUAGCCAGAAGACUCAUAUUUAAGAAGAGGAAAAAGGAAGUGUCGCUCUCUCUUUCCCCUCGGCUCCUGCUCCAGCGGCACGAUGUGAUUCACCAGCAAGGAGGGAUGCCAAUAAGGCGUCCGAUAAGUGCAUCUCAGGAGGGUAAACCUUGAUUUGAGUCUGGAGGUCCUCAGUGAGUGGUAUCAUGUUUUUAGAGCUUUGCCUUGCCUCUCAGAAGUGAGAACCAUCUUCAUAUCCCCAGGGAUACCACUGGAGCUGGACCAGUGUCCUCUUCAGCUCCUUAUGACUGGUUCUCUUCUGAGUGCUCCAAACUGAAAUAGAGCUGGGCUGGCGAGUACUCAAGAAGAGGGAAGAGUCAAAGAUACCUGUGAAUGACAAAAUUAACCUGAAGGAGAGGAAAUGGCAUAAGAAAGCUAAUCAUCUAGAACUAGAAGAAACCAUCCUGAGUGAGGUCCAUUCGGCUGAAGUCCCUGAAUCUGCCAGGAAUAGGCCUCCACCUUGCCAGCCUGAAAGGGCAUUUUAUCUCAACAACAGGAAAAGAUGCUAAGAUAGGAAAUGACAUAUCCAACUUCUGGUCACCUGCUAAAACAGCCUCGGAGAUGUGGUUCUGAUGUUAGCCCAGGAAGAAUGAAGAAUUAGCUUAACAAACAGCUAUUCUCUGUUGCUGCAUCCUAAUUCCUCAU
rnacentral:lncRNA from 1 species